rnacentral:tRNA from 76 species
GUGGCUAUAGCUCAGUUGGUAGAGCCCUGGAUUGUGAUUCCAGUUGUCGUGGGUUCGAGCCCCAUUAGCCACCCCA